rnacentral:tRNA from 1 species
GAGCUCAGUGGCAGAGCAUCUGCAAUGCACACAGAAGGUCCCGGGUUCAAUCCCCAAUGGCA